rnacentral:rRNA from 1 species
UACGAAGGGUGCAAGCGUUGUUCGGAAUCACUGGGCGUAAAGCGCGCGUAGGCGGCGAUGCAAGUCAGAGGUGAAAUCCCAAGGCUUAACCUUGGAAUUGCCUUUGAAACUGCAUUGCUAGAGGACUGGAGGGGAUGGCGGAAUUCCUAAUGUAGCGGUGAAAUGCGUAGAUAUUAGGAGGAACACCGGUGGCGAAGGCGGCCAUCUGGACAGUCACUGACGCUGAGGCGCGAAAGCGUGGGGAUCAAAC